rnacentral:ncRNA from 1 species
UUGGGAGAAAAUUAGAAAAUCUUGGUAUGCCUGUCUACACAUAGUGAUGUUCUGCCACGGAUGGCAGAACAAGGCAGCAUCGAGUCAUGGAUGACUCGUUGUUGCCGGUCACGUCGCUCUGAGAAAACCUAAAUCAGGCAUACCUAGUCUUUUCUUAUUUUCGUAC